rnacentral:rRNA from 1 species
UACGUAGGGUGCGAGCGUUAAUCGGAAUUACUGGGCGUAAAGCGUGCGCAGGCGGUCUGCUAAGACAGGUGUGAAAUCCCUGGGCUCAACCUAGGAAUUGCGCUUGUGACUGGCGGGCUAGAGUACGGUAGAGGGGGGUGGAAUUCCCGGUGUAGCAGUGAAAUGCGUAGAGAUCAGGAGGGACACCGAUGGCGAAGGCAGCCCCCUGGUCCUGUACGGACGCCCAGGCACCAAUGCGUGGGUAGCAAACAGG